GAGGGCCCCGAAAAGCGCUAUAUAAAUGCAAUCCAUCAUUAUUAUUUUUACUACCCAGAGCUCGUGACCGGAGGUGAGGGUGGGAACGUAGAUUGGUGGGUAAAUUGACAGCUUCAUUUUUGUGCUCAGCUCUCUGUCUCUCACCAUGACAGACUGGUACAGCGUCUGCAUCACUGUGGACACCACCCCAAUGCGUUUGUCAGUCUCUCAGUUUCCUCUCCACUCACUCGUGAACAAGACCCUAAAACCUGCACUCAUUGGUGAAAAAUACAGGGCGCCAGUGGUGAACCUGCCAGUUCUGGUAUUUUAUAAAUUCGGGCCCUCAGACCAUGAAGUCUGUUUCUGAUUGUUUGGUUAGAGACAUUCACACCAGUGGCCUGCUCGAGAUCAUUAUGUAGCCUAGCAAUGCUCAUCUUGUUCCUCCUUGCACAAAGGAGCAGAUACUGGUCACGCUGAUGGGUUAAGGACCUUCUAAAAUCCUGUCGAGCUCUCUGAGUAAUUACCUGUCCUAGAAUCUCCUCUAUGCUCUUGAAACUGUGCUGGGAGAGACGGAAAACCUUCUGGACUAUCUGUGUGACCUCUGUAGGGUUCAGGCAUCCCAUCACGCUACCAGUAAUGACACUGGCCCCAGUCAAAUGCAAAACUAGCGAAAAGCAGUCAGAAAAGAUAAGGAGGGAAAAAGGUCAGUGUCCUCCAGCUGUGCAACCAUUCCUUUUUGUCUCGUUGUUGCCCCUCUAGUGCACUGUGGAUUUCAUUAACACCAAAGCAGCUGAAAAUGACUAACAACCUCCUCUGCUACUUUCCUGACCACAACAAUGUCCCACAAGUUUAACUGUCUUGAUGCUGUACUCGGAUUAAAAAGGGUUUUUUGCUGUUGUACUUAUACAGUCUUUUCUUUCUUUCACAGAAACAUUGCAGGGCCAAAGUGCUGGAAAAAAAGAGCGCAUCCUACACAUUAUAAUAGGUGUCCUUACCUUCACCAACUUCCUUUGGGCGGUGGCUUUUUACAUGUACACGCAGAGGCUUCAAAGGAGUAAUGAGGUGAGUGGGAGCUCAGAUGUGAUUGUUGCUUAAAGCAGAGAUGUAAGGAUGUCCAACUACACAUUUAAUCCAUAUUUAAUAUAAAAAUAGUGCAGUUUCAACAGUAUUCUCUCAGUUUUUCUAAAUCAUAAACAAAUGCUGCUAUAGUACAUGAAAGAAAUCUUCCAGCAUGGAUAAAUGUGUAAAAUUACAGAAAAAAGGAGAAUAAUUCCCAUAAAUUCACAAAAAAUUCCAGUUUUUCAAAUAAACAGUCUUCCUUUGUGGAAUUGAAAUUUACAGUAAUACUGAAAAGGAGGAAAUUUGAUGUUUUGUUUUUUUAAUGGUUAUUAUUGAACUCUUACCUAAUUACUUUGUUUUGUGUAUUAUGAUAGCAAGGUCUUUAUCAGUAGAGAAAAUUGUGAAAAGCUAUGACAAUACAGUAAAACGUCAGAAAUCUGAAACUUCUCCAUGUGUGUGAUACCUGUGGCUUAAAGAAUACAAGGGUAGGGCUGGGCCAUAUCAUACCGUUCACGGUAACAUCGGUAUAAUGUUGGGCAACGAUAAGAAAAUAUCGCGAUAGAAUAUGGGUGAAACACGCAUGUGCAGUGCCUUUGUUUUCAUACGCACAUGGCGGAAAAAGCAUGGCGGCGACGGAGAAUGAGAAGAGCGAAAGCGGAUUGAUGAAUGAAACCAGAACUGGGGUCCGUUCUUCGUACGUCGCUUA